CGCUGCGUGCGCCAUGUAUUUUGCCACGUCACCGGAACAGUCUCAUUCCGUAUCGUCAUCGCUCUGGGGGAGCGAAGCAGAGCAGGGUUGUUAGAAGCGUAAGAAGUUGUCCCGCCGUCUCUUUCUUUGCGGUGCCGGCCCCGCUCACCCGGCCACGGCCGCCCUUUGCCCCCGCCCAUCGCCUCCCCCAAUGGUGCCGCGCUCCGUGAACUCAUGAAGUCCACGUACACGUCUCUCAGCGACUUGGGCACCGUCGCCAUCUCCCACCGCGGCGAGAUCGAUGAGGUGAAGCGGCAGCUGGAUGUCAAGCACGGCUACUUCGACGCCUGGAUAUACGGCUUCCUCGAGAACAAGAAGUUCGAUGUCGGCGAAACGGUCGCAAAGCUGCAUCGGCGCUUUGCGAUGGAGGUGAGCGAGCUCGCCUCGUACGAGCUGACGGACUACAUGCGGGAGUCGCUGCGCAAGGGCAUCAUCGGCGAGAUCGGCACCGACAAGGCGGGGCGUGUCGCCUUUCUCAUCAACACAAAGCGCGACUACCCGCAGUCGAAGCACCGCGACGAGCAGCGCCGCUCCUUCGACAUGUUCGUAAGCUACGGCACACGCCUACGCAAGGAGAACAAGCGCUGCCAGAUGGUGAUGCUCAUCAACCAGGACGGCGCUAGCCUCUUCAAGAACGUCGACAUGACCUUCCAGGCAGACAUCGCGUUGCGCAUCUCGAAGUUCUACCCCGGAUGCGUGGACAAGAUCUACAUCUGCAAUAUGAGUCGCACCCUCGCCACCAUGGCAAAGCCGAUCUUCAAACGCCUGCCGGCCAUCGUGGCCGAUCGAAUUCAGAUUAUCGACGACAACGACAUCAAGCAAGGUGUGCUGCUGGACCUCUUCGAUGCGGAAGUGCUGCCGGUCGAGCUGGGCGGCAAGAACAAGUGUGACAAUGAGGGGCUCUGGGGCGCGUAUGCGGAUCGGGUGGAGAAGUACUACGCGGAGCUGAAGCGGGCCGUCAAUGAACGUGGAAUGACGGUCAAAGACUACGAGUUAGAGAGCAUCGGCAUCGACCCUGGGACGGCGCACGAGAGGGACGCCGCCAACGGUGUCGCAACAACGACGCCACAGGCCGACACCCUCGUGCAGUCCGUCUGCUCCUUCCCUGCGCAGACGCCGUCACGCCAGUCGUCUUUCUACCCCGCUGCAAGAGAUGCUCUUCAGCCGCAUCCGCCGAGGGGCCCGCGGGCCUCGUCGCUGGGCAUGGCCGGCGCGAACGAGAGCGAUGACCCGGAGCUGAAGUCCCUCAGGACGUGCCGCACGGAGGGGUCGUCCCUGCCGUCGCCGGCGUGCGAUGAAGCCGACAAACGAGAGGCCGGUGCCCAGGAGACGAUUUCGUGGGCCGAAGUAGUGGCGCCGCUUCCGGACAGCCUUGCGCUCUUUUUCCUGGAGGAGCUGCUGCGCUGGCGCACGGCCGUCGAAAACAGCGAAUGCGGCGAGCGCUACAAGAUCCUGGACAGCUUCGCCUCCGGUCUCAGGACGACCACCGAGCUCGGCAUUCGCGGCUUGGAUGUGUCGGACCGGAAGUGGUACGUUGGCGUUCCAUACCCGCUGCGCGCCCUCUACCGCAUCCUCCUGGUGGCCAUCACGCUGAUGAACAUGAUAUACUUCUCCGCCGCCCUUGUCUUCUGCGCCGUCUUCUGCGCUGACGUCAUCAUCACCCUCUUCCUUGGCUUAUUCGCCAAGCCCAGCUACGUGUUCCCACUGGGAGCGGUGCUGCUCAUGGUGGCCAUUCAAGGCGCCUCCCUCUGCACACGUGCGGCGGACUGUAUCCUGGCAGUGUAUAACCACAACGUCAUCCCUCUCUUCGAGCGCCUCGGCAGCAACUGGGGCACGGUGGCGGAGGUGAUACUAUUCUUUGUGCUCGUCAUCAUCCAGUUCAUUAUCUUCUGCGUGUACGCACUGAGCAGCAACCCGCUGCGCGGCCUCGAAGUAUCCUUCGCUACGGGAUGGUUUAGCGCGCUUUUCGUGAUCGUCUUCACGCAUGUCUUUUUCUUUACCGGCAUCUUUGCCUCCCCGACGACGCGCGACGCGGAUAAUCGGCUUGCCGCACUGCCUUUCUUUCUGGCCCUCAACUUCGGCAACGCCCCCAAGGAGCAGCUGCGGGAGCUGGACACGCGCUUCAUGCUGCGCACCUCCUCCUACGUCAUCUGCGGCAUCCCGCUGGCCAUCAGCGUGCUGCUGGGCAUCAGCUUCCUAAUUAGCCGCAUCGUCUCCCUCUAUGUCGCAACCUUUGUAGCGACCCUGGUGGCGGCGUACAUGGUGCACUACUACUCUGACGCCCUGUCGAACUCGCUGAGCGGGUCACUGUUGCGCUUCACACUGUGGAUGCUGACUCUCGUCUGGUGCUACGUGACGCUAGCCAUAGGCCUCCAUAACCACAACCACCGCUACGGCGUCUCGGUGAUUGUCGCGUUGGUACUGAACGGUGCCUUUGUUCUGUUGGCGAUAUCGUGCCUGCGCCGCCCGGGCCGAAGCCGGCUGCUGCGCGUCUCCUACAUUAUCGUCAUGGCCUACAUCUUCGGCUGCUGGAUUACGGUGUUUCCCCUAGUGGACUGGCGCAUGGGUCUCUUCUGUCUCGCCAUCAUGAUCCACAACGUGCUGAACAUUGUCUUUGCCCCUCGCACGCUCAUCGGCAUCCACGCCUCCUUCUUGCUCGCCGCAGCGGUGAUGCUGCUGGGCGUGUCGUGCGUGCUGCUUGGGUGGUACGGCACGACACUGAUGACCACGAAAGCGCAUAGCCGUCCCUCCGGCCCACCCAACGCCACGACGCUGUCGCAGCUGGAGCUCUACCACCGCUACCCUGUCUGCACGCUGCAGCUGGCCCAGGACGGCUCGUUCCGCGUGGUUGACCUCGCCCUGCUGAACGAGGUCGUCAGCGCCCGCACCAACGCGACACGCUCAGUCGACUUUAACAACUGGUUCGGCACUCGCGGCGUCACCUACAGCGGUGUCGUGGGCGAGUUCGAGACGGACGGCAUCUCGUGGGAGAUGCACGAGUUCCUGCUGCCAGCCGCAGCAAACACCACCGUCUUGGUGCUGAACAACCGCUACGCCAUGUCGUCCAUCGUGGCCAUGGUAGGCUGGGUCGACGCUAUCGCCUUGUCCCCACUCUCCAUCUUCAUGCCGUAUGACUGGAUCGAUGCCUUGGUGCAUACCACGUCCUUUACUACCCGGCUGAUUCCCUUCGCAGCGGUGCGCCUCGUCGACGAACUCAGGGAUUAUGUGUACCUCAAGAAGAGCCAGCUUAAAACCAACCUCAUCCUCACCGGCGGCGGCGUGGCGGGCGGCUUCCUCUCGGCGGCAGCGGCGCAGUCGAAGACACAAGCCAUCGUGUUUGCCUCCCCCGGACUUCUGCAUUGCUCCCGAAAGCUCAGAGUGUCUUUCGACGACUACCACAGCUACGUCCUCUCCAUCGGCGUCCACUACGGUGUUCUGAACUACAUCGGCGGUCAGGACACGACCGUGAGCCAGCGUGUGCUGUGCGACGCCUCUGCUGUCUACUGCAUGCGACCGCAGUUCUUCUCAACGGCGUUGCUGGAGGCCUGCGGCGAUGCGGAGGGUCGCAGGCACGUUGCCUCCACAUGAGCGCCUGGUGCACCUGUCUUAUCUUUUCUUUUUAGCUUUAUGUGUGUGUGUUCGCCACGUGUCACUCGGCACCCCGCCGUUCUCUCUCGGCUGCAUUGUACCUGUGGAGAGGGAGAGUAGCGUCUAAAAAGGUGUGUAUGCGAGGCGGAGACGGAGCCACUGAGCACACGGAGACCUCUGUAUUAUUUCACUUAUUCUUUUCUGUGUGCCUCUGUGUGUGUGUGGCUCUUGCGUCUGUCUGCGUCGGCGGUAUGCACGCGCGCUUACUCCUCUCUCUGGCUUUCGUUCGUUGCCUUUCUUCGCGCAUGGGCCUUUGUGUGGGCGCCUCCCUUUAGGAUGGCGCGUGUGUGCCUUGUGUUGUCACCACAUGCCAGUGCCUCUUCCGCGUAAGGCGGGACCCUGUGUCACUGCCGAAAGUG
rnacentral:misc_RNA from 1 species